rnacentral:rRNA from 1 species
AACGAACGCUGGCGGCAUGCCUAACACAUGCAAGUCGAACGAGACCUUCGGGUCUAGUGGCGCACGGGUGCGUAACGCGUGGGAACCUGCCCUUAGGUUCGGAAUAACUCCCCGAAAGGGGUGCUAAUACCGGAUAAUGUCUUCGGACCAAAGAUUUAUCGCCUUUGGAUGGGCCCGCGUUGGAUUAGCUAGUUGGUAGGGUAAAAGCCUACUAAGGCGACGAUCCAUAGCUGGUCGGAGAGGAUGGUCAGACACACUGGGACUGAGACACGGCCCAGACUCCUACGGGAGGCAGCAGUGGGGAAUAUUGGACAAUGGGCGAAAGCCUGAUCCAGCAAUGCCGCGUGAGUGAUGAAGGCCUUAGGGUUGUAAAGCUCUUUUAACCAGGAUGAUAAUGACAGUACCGGGAGAAUAAGCUCCGGCUAACUCCGUG